ensembl:lncRNA novel transcript
ACCCCUAUCUCCCUUCGCUGGCUCUCUUUUCGGACUCAGCCCACCUGCCCCCAGGUGAAAUAAACAGCCUUGUUGCUCGCACAAAGCCUGUUUCGUGGUCUCUUCACAUGGAUGCGAGUGAAAUUUUGGUGCCGUGACUCGGAUCGGGGGACCUCCCUUGGGAGAUCAAUCCCCCGUCCUGCUCUUUGCUCCGUGAGAAAGAUCCACCUACGACCUCUGGUCCUCAGACCGACCAGGCCAGGGAACAUCUCACCAAUUUUAAAUCAGGGACGUGAGUAAAAAUGGUACAGCUCAGGCCAUGGAUUCAGAGGGUGCAAGCCCCAAGCCUUGGCAGCUUCCAUGUGGUGUUGAGCUUGCAGGUACACAGAAGUCAGGAAUUGAGGUUGGGAACCUCCACCUAGAUUUCAGAGGAUGUAUGGAAAUGCCUGGACGUUCAGGCGGAAGUUUGCUGCAAAGGUGGUCCCUCAUGGAGAACCUCUGCUAGGGCAGUGCAGAAGGUAAAUGUGGGGUUGGAGUCCACACACAGAGUCCCAAAUGGGGAACUCUCUACUGGAGCUGUGAGAGAAGGCCCACUGUCCUUCAGACCCCAAAAUGGUAGGUCCACUGAUCCACCUGUAAAGGCCACAGACACUCAGUGCCAGCCAGCUAAGCAGCCAGGAAUGGGGCUGUACCCUUUGAAGCCACAGGGGCUGAGCUUCCCAAGGCUGUUGGAGUCCACCUCUUACAUCAGUGUGACCUGGAUGUGACACAUGGAGCCAAAAGAGAUCAUUUUGCAACUGUAAGAUUUGGUGAUGCCCUGUUGAAGUUUGGACUUUCAUGGGGCCUAUAGCCCCUUUGUUUUGGCCAACUUCUCCCAUUUGGAAUGGGCAUAUUUACCCAAUGCCUGUACCCCCAUUUUAUCUAAAAAGUAACUGACUUGCUUUCAGAUUUACAGGCUCAUAGGCAGAAGGGACUUGCCUUGUUUCAGAUGAGACUUUUGACUUGAACUUUGGGAUUAAUGCUGGAAUGAGCUAAGACUUUGGGGGACUGUUGAAAAGGCAUGAUUGUGUUUGUAAGGACAUGACAUUUAGGAGGGACCAGGGUUGGAAUGAUAUGGUUUUGCUCUGUGUCCCCACUGAAAUCUCAUCUUGAUUUGUAAUUCCCAUAAUCCCCACAUAUCAUGGGAGGGACCUAGUGGGAGGUAAUUGAAUCCUGGGAGCAGUUCCCUCAUGCUGUUCAUGUGAUAGUGAGUGAGUUCGCACAAGAACUGAUGGUUUUAUAAGGGGCCUUUCCCCACUUCACUUGGCACUUCUCUUCCCUGCCACUAUGGGAGGAGACCACCCCUCAUAUUGUCUUAUGCCCAAUUUCUGCCUCCAAAGAAAGAAGAAGUAAAAACUAAAAGGCAGAAAUGAAAUCCAUAGGCAGGCAGCCCGACGCCACAUCCUGGGCCUGGUAGUUAAAGAUCGACCCCUGACCUAAUCAGUUAUGUUAUCUAUAGAGUACAGACAUUGUAUAGAAAAGCACUGUGAAAAAUCCCUGUCCUUUUCUGUUCUGUUCUAAUUACCAGUGCAUGCAGCCCCCAGUCACGUACCCCCUGCUUGCUCAAUCGAUCACGACCCUCUCACGUGGACCCCCUCACGUGGACCACCUUAGAGUUGUAAGCCCUUAAAAGGGACAGGAAUUGCUCACUCGGGGAGCUCAGUUUUUGGAGAUGUGAGUCUGCCGAUGCUCCCAGCUGAAUAAAGCCCUUCUUUCUACAA